UGCCGCUCUAAUCGUGUCCGUCCCAUAUGCAAAAAGAGAGUGCUGAGAUAACGCAGUGAGAAGCCCAAAAAAAGUUUCACCAUUUUUUUCAUUCUAAACCAACAUUUUCUAUAUAAUUUUUUAUACAGUUAUUUCGAUAUCAGUCUAAAAAACACCACUAUCAUAAAUUUGAUUUAAAAAAUUAACAAUUUGAUGGUAAAUUUGUGAAAUUUUCAACAAGAGACCGACUUGACUUUAUUUGUCCAUAAAUAAAGGCAGGUCAGUCAUGGUAUCAAGGUAGGCUUGAACAUUUACACCAGAGAUUCAUCCUGAUUCAACUGUCAUUUCCAGAUUUUUAUAGGAUUCCAAGAUACAAAAAUAUGACCAGCAACGACACCAGAAAUUUAAGAAAUACAGAGGCAAAUGACAUAUUGAUGCAAAUCUCAACUGCUUAACCGUAGGAAUUAAUUUCAAAAAAAUCCGCUUUUCGGAGGUGGAAUCUUUUCCAGAACCAGGAUCAAGCCUAUUAAUUCAAAACAAUAUAGAACUAAUUGUAUGGUGUAGACAUUAGCCAUAACGGUAUGCAUUUUAUUUUUUCUAUUCGUGGUUUUCCCUUAAAGAAGAAAAAAAAAGCAAAAAAGGUUUGGAUUAUUUCGUUUUAAAUAUUCAAAUAUUUCAUCAGAAAUGAACAGAUAAUGAUAUUUUUAUGCUUUACGUAUUCAUAAAGACAUACUCUGUAAAAUUUAAACAAUUCUGCAUCCACUCAAACGAUUUGCGAGACAUUUCUAUAUGAGAAACUGACUUGCCUUUAUUUUGCAUAUGGGACAGCACGAAAGUCAUAUUUAUUUUGGAAUUUUUAGAACAAACAUUACU